rnacentral:rRNA from 1 species
AAUCCAGUUGAUCCUGCUGGCGGCUGCGGCUCUUUGGUUUGCAUUUAGACAUGCAAGUUUUUGUUUUUAGAAAUAAGAGCAAAGCGAACUGCUCAGUAACACGUAGUUAACCUACCCUAAGGUCAGGGAUACCCUCGGGAAACUGAGGCUAAUACCUGAUAGAAGACAUACCCUGGAAAGAUUUGUCUUUCAAAUUCGUGCCAUAGGAUGGGACUGCGGCUGAUUAGGCCCACCAAGCCGAUGAUCAGUAAGGGCUCUUAGCGGAGAGGCCCUGAGAGGGAGUCUGAGACACUACUCCCAGCCCUACGGGGUGCAGCAGUUAGGUAUUUUCUGCAAUGCGCGAAAGCGUGACAGAGCGAACCAAAGUGCGUCUCAAUGAGACGCUUUUGCUAAAUCUAAAAAGUUUGGCGAAUAAGGACUGGGUAAGACUAGUGCCAGCCGCCGCGGUAAUACUAGCGGUCCAAGUCGCAGCCAUCAUUAUUGGGUCUAAAACAUCCGUAGCUUGCUUAAUAAGUUUCUUGUGAAAUCUUAUAUCUCAAGUAUAAGGCGUGCAAGAAGUACUGCUAAGCUAGAGAUUGGAAGACGUAGGAAGUACAAUCAAAGUAGCGGUAAAAUGUGUUGAUCUUGGUUGGACUCACAACAGCGAAGGCAUCCUACGAGUACAGUUCUGACAGUAAGGGAUGAAGGCUAGGGGCGCAAAAUGGAUUAGAUACCCAUGUAGUCCUAGCAGUAAACACUGCACACUAAACAUCGGGACCUCCUCGAGAGGCUUCGGUGCUGUAGCGAAGGCGAAAAGUGUGCUACCUGGGAAGUAUAGCCGCAAGGCCGAAACUUAAAGGAAUUGGCGGGGAGACACUACAACGGGUGACGCGUGCGGUUCAAUUAGAUUCGACACCGUGAACCUCACCAGGAGCGACAGCAGAAUGAAGGUCAGUCUGAAGGGCUUACCUGACACGCUGAGAGGAGUUGCAUGGCCAACGUCAGCCUGUGCCGUGAGGUGACCUGUUAAAUCAGGUAACAGGCAAGACCCGCGUGCAUAUUUACUACGUGUACAAUAUGCAGAUUGCCAUGGUAACAUGGAUGAAAGUGCGGGCUACGUUAGGUGAGUACAGCCUGAAUCCCCUGGGCGACACGCGCGCGUCAAUGGUGGAUACAAUUGGAUGCAACUCUGAAAAGAGAAGCUAAUCCCCUAAAAUCCAUCUCAGUUCAGAUUGAGGUUUGCAACCCAGCCUCAUGACGCUGGAAUCCGUAGUAAUCGUUCGUUAGCAGCGAACGGUGAAUCUGUCCCUGUCUCUUGCACACACUGUUAUAAUGAAACUUUUCGAAGGAGAAUUUUAGCAUGACAAGGUAGGUUAAGUCGUCACAAGGUAUCUGUAGGGGAACCUGCAGAUGGAUCACCUCCU